GGGUGAUUAGCUCAGCUGGGAGAGCAGCUGCCUUACAAGCAGCGGGUUGUAUCCAACCUUCGGGGGUCAUACCACUGUUCAUGGA
rnacentral:tRNA from 1 species